GAUGAACGCUGGCGGCGUGCCUAAUACAUGCAAGUCGAGCGAACGGACGAGAAGCUUGCUUCUCUGAUGUUAGCGGCGGACGGGUGAGUAACACGUGGAUAACCUACCUAUAAGACUGGGAUAACUUCGGGAAACCGGAGCUAAUACCGGAUAAUAUUUUGAACCGCAUGGUUCAAAAGUAAAAGACGGUCUUGCUGUCACUUAUAGAUGGAUCCGCGCUGCAUUAGCUAGUUGGUAAGGUAACGGCUUACCAAGGCAACGAUGCAUAGCCGACCUGAGAGGGUGAUCGGCCACACUGGAACUGAGACACGGUCCAGACUCCUACGGGAGGCAGCAGUAGGGAAUCUUCCGCAAUGGGCGAAAGCCUGACGGAGCAACGCCGCGUGAGUGAUGAAGGUCUUCGGAUCGUAAAACUCUGUUAUUAGGGAAGAACAUAUGUGUAAGUAACUGUGCACAUCUUGACGGUACCUAAUCAAAAAGCCACGGCUAACUACGUG
rnacentral:rRNA from 1 species